ACGCUCGACACCUACAGGAGGCAGCAGUAGGGAAUCUUCCACAAUGGACGCAAGUCUGAUGGAGCAACGCCGCGUGAGUGAAGAAGGUCUUCGGAUCGUAAAACUCUGUUGUUAGAGAAGAACACGAGUGAGAGUAACUGUUCAUUCGAUGACGGUAUCUAACCAGCAAGUCACGGCUAACUACGUACNCGCAGCCGCGGUAAUCUGAGCGGGCUGGCAAGGC
rnacentral:rRNA from 1 species